rnacentral:rRNA from 1 species
UACGGAGGGUGCAAGCGUUAUCCGGAUUUACUGGGUUUAAAGGGUGCGUAGGUGGGUAGGUAAGUCAGUGGUGAAAUCUUCGAGCUUAACUCGGAAACUGCCAUUGAUACUAUUUAUCUUGAAUACUCUGGAGGUAAGCGGAAUAUGUCAUGUAGCGGUGAAAUGCUUAGAUAUGACAUAGAACACCAAUUGCGAAGGCAGCUUACUACAUAGUUAUUGACACUGAGGCACGAAAGCGUGGGGAGCAAACAGG